UACGAAGGGGGCUAGCGUUGCUCGGAAUCACUGGGCGUAAAGGGUGCGUAGGCGGGUCUUUAAGUCCCGGGGGAAAUCCUGGAGCUCAACUCCAGAACUGCCUUUGAUACUGAGGAUCUUGAGUUCGGGAGAGGUGAGUGGAACUGCGAGUGUAGAGGUGAAAUUCGUAGAUAUUCGCAAGAACACCAGUGGCGAAGGCGGCUCACUGGCCCGAUACUGACGCUGAGGCACGAAAGCGUGGGGAGCAAACAGG
rnacentral:rRNA from 1 species